rnacentral:rRNA from 1 species
AGGGCACCACCAGGAGUGGAGCCUGCGGCUUAAUUUGACUCAACACGGGGAAACUCACCCGGCCAGGACACAAUAAGGAUUGACAGAUUGAUAGCUCUUUCUUGAUUUUGUGGGUGGUGGUGCAUGGCCGUUCUUAGUUGGUGGAGCGAUUUGUCUGGUUAAUUCCGAUAACGAACGAGACUCUAGCCUAUUAAAUAGACGAUAUAUUAUUAGUUUAUCGAGCUUCUUAGAGGGACAGGCAGCUUCUAGCUGCACGAGAUUGAGCAAUAACAGGUCUGCGAUGCCCUUAGAUGUCCGGGGCUGCACGCGCGCUACAAUGAUAAUAGCAGCGUGCAUUAAAACCUUUUCUGGUAAGAAUUGGUAAACACGAAAUAUUGUCGUGCUUGGGAUAGGGGAUUGAAAUUAUUGCCCUUAAACGAGGAAUUCCCAGUAAGUGCGAGUCAUUAGCUUGCGUUGAUUACGUCCCUGCCCUUUGUACACACCGCCCGUCGCUACUACCGAUUGGAAGAUUUAGUGAAU